UUUUUGUGGGGUGAUGGCGUGCCUUUUGAAGAAUGAGCCUGCGAGUCAGCGGCAUGUCGCGAGGUUAACCCGUUUGGUGGGGUAGUCGUAGCGAAAGCGAAUACUAACUAGUGUGUUGUCAGUGGCAUGUCCUGGACCCGAAGCGGGGUGAUCUACCCAUGGCCAGUGUGAAGCAGAGGUAAGACUCUGUGGAGGCGCGAACCCACUUAGGUUGAAAACUGAGGGGAUGAGUUGUGGGUAGGGGUGAAAGGCCAAUCAAACUCCGUGAUAGCUGGUUCUCCCCGAAAUGCAUUUAGGUGCAGCGUCGUGUGUUUCCUCCUGGAGGUAGAGCUACUGGUUGGUUUAGCGGGACUAUCAUCUUAGCGACAUCAGCCAAACUCCGAAUGCCGGUGAGGUCAGAGCACGGCAGUGAGACUGCGGGGGAUAAGCUUCGUAGUCGAGAGGGAAACAGCCCAGAUCGCCGGCUAAGGCCCCUAAGGGUGUGCUAAGUGGAAAAGGAUGUGGGAUCGCGAAGACAACCAGGAGGUUGGCUUAGAAGCAGCCAUCCUUGAAAGAGUGCGUAAUAGCUCACUGGUCGAGUGGUUCUGCGCCGACAAUGUAGUGGGGCUCAAGUACACCGCCGAAGCCGCGGCAAUCACCUUUGUGGUGGUUGGGUAGGGGAGCGUCGCGUGACUGCUGUGAAGCGCUGGGGUAACCCUAGUGUGGAGUGUGCGCGAGUGAGAAUGCAGGCAUGAGUAGCGAAUGAGGAGUGGAAAACUCCUCCGCCGAAUGACUAAGGGUUCCUGGGCCAGGUUAAUCCUCCCAGGGUGAGUCGGGACCUAAGGCGAGGCCGACAGGCGUAGUCGAUGGAUAACGGGUUGAUAUUCCCGUACCCGUGUGUCCGCGCCCAUGGUGAAUCAGGGAUACUAACCCACCUGAACACGCGCCGUUUACUAGCCUUUUAGGUUGGUUGGUGUGUGUGAUGCUGGGGACCUGAACUGGUAGUAGCCAAGUGAUGGGGUGACGCAGGAAGGUAGCCGUGCCACGUGAUGGAUAUCGUGGUGUAAGCGUGUGGCCCGUGUUCUAGGUAAAUCCGGAGCACAUAUAGGGUGAGGCGUGAUGCGUACCCGUUUUGGGGAAGUUGGUGAUCCUAUGCUGCCGAGAAAAGCCUCUAGCGAUGUGGAUAUACGGCCCGUACCCGAAACCGACACAGGUAGUCAGGUAGAGAAUACUAAGGCGAUCGGGAGAACUGUGGUUAAGGAACUCGGCAAAAUGCCCCCGUAACUUCGGGAGAAGGGGGGCCAUGACUGGUGACCGACGUGGUUGAGCUGGUUGUGGCCGCAGAGAAUAGAGGGAAGCGACUGUUUACUAAAAACACAGGUCCGUGCGAAGACGGGUAAGUCGAUGUAUACGGACUGACGCCUGCCCGGUGCUGGAAGGUUAAGAGGACCUGUUAGACCCCUUU
rnacentral:rRNA from 1 species